rnacentral:lncRNA from 1 species
GAUCCAGCCGUUCCCCAAACAAGCUGGCUCCAAGGGGAGCAAGGGAUGUGCAGCUAUUAGCAUAUGCAGAUUAGGCCUGGUCAGCCUGAGGUGCCCCAACGGAGCCUUUGGCCGUGGCCAGGGCUUCUGGCAGAUGUCGAUGCCUACCCACUACUUCAGGCACCUCUCCAGUCACUGGGAUACUGGAAGCUGAAGUGUAGGAUCCACAGCAAGCUGCAUCCUAGCUAUCCACAUUGGAGCCCAGGGAGCCAGGGGACCUGCCUGGCUUUCACAGAUGGGUAGGAGAGAGUACGAAGAGACCAAGGCUCAGAGAAGCUGUGGGGCUCACCUGAAGUUGGGACUUCAGCAUGUACUUCGUGGUUGGCCUUGCAGCUUCAAGGAGAGACUCUGCAAAUUCCUGCCAGCAGCCCAGAUGGGCUUCGCUCAGUGGCCGCUGUUGCAAGCAGGAAUCCUAAAUCUGCGUGACCACCGGGCCCAGCACCCUGGACAGCAGCGGCCUGGCCCUGCCCUCUUGGGGUCCGAGGGAGGUCGUGUCAUCCCCCUCCCCAUCAGCCUCUCCAGGCCUCCUUGGCACUCCUGGAGUCUUUAGUCUUCAGCUCAGGCUGGUAAUUAAAAACCUUCAAGGGGGACUUUAUUGAGUUAGCAUUAGUUAUUUUGUCAGGCUGGGAAAGCGAGAGAAUUAUCUGUCCUCCGGGAGAGAGGGCAGGGGCUGGGGCCUCGGGCUGAGAUUGGCAGGUGCCGGAGCGGAGCGGGCAGGCGGUGGGGC